rnacentral:lncRNA from 1 species
AGUGACAUCAUCAUGAUUUUAGGGGAGAAAAAAAAAAGGCAACGCUUAACCUGGAAUCAAUAGCAGUAAAAUAUUGUAAUGGUCUUGAAUCUUAUUUGAUUUUCUUCUGCUGAUUUGAAAGGUUAAUGAGUUUUUCCAGCAAGAGAUUCAGAUAUUUGAUAGGGACAACCAGGGAACUUCAUGGUCACCUCACAUUAAAUUAUGUCUUUAAUAAAAACUUGCAAAAAUUUACUUGUUUUCAGCUAAUAAUAAAUAUAUAUCAUUUA